CACUAUUGUUGGUGCUACUGCGAUAUGCAAGUUUUUUUUGAAUAUCCACAUGUCUUUAUGGUUGAUCAGUUUGACAGUUUUGUUGUUGAUUACCAUAUAUGCCUAUCUGGGGUUUCUAACUGAUAAAUAAAUGUUAGUCAUAUCUUAUUAUGUGCCUAGACCAGCGAUUCUUCGACUUUAUAUGCGCAGACUAGAGUUGUGGUCUUUCCCAUAUAUGCAUUAGAAGAAUUAUCUUACAGACCAGAUUCAGUCUGCUGGCUAUACGCAUGUGUAAACAAAAGAAUUUAUUAGCUCAAAUUCAUCUUCUCUUCAGUGAUUUGUGUAUGGAUGUCAAUGGGAUGCAGCUUCCGGGUCUGAUCAAUGGAGUAACUUGUUGGCCGAAGAAACAGGAGACUUCUGAUCGUAACUUAACUUCCCAGAUUCAGUAUUAUAUAGUUGUAUUUGUCAGGUUUAGUCAAAAGAUAGCGCAAGGCAGAUUGCACUCCCGGAUACGCUGUCCUCAGCGAGUGAGGUGAGCUGGGAAAACCAAUAGGAGCUGCAAAGAAGAGGGAUUGCAAAAAUGAGCUGCAAUAAAGAAUAUUAAUUUAUGUUUUUCUUGUGGAUUCCUAAAAUAAAUGGAAGACGCAUGGCUGAGACCAUGCUGAGAGCAAGUUCGAGAAAAGAGCUAUGACCAGAUAGUUUUACAUCAUGUCUUAGAAUGUCAUUUUUAGAUAUACGUAUCUUGUAUUCAAUGGACCAUGUUCUUUGUAAAGCUACAAAGUUGAUUUAAUAUAUGAGGUAUUUCCAUUUA